rnacentral:rRNA from 1 species
GCCUAACACAUGCAAGUGGAGCGACGAACCAGGCUUCGGCCUGGGGCAAAGCCGCGAACGGGUGAGUAACACGUGGGUGACCUACCCCGAAGACCGGGAUAACCCGAGGAAACUCGGGCUAAUACCGGAUGUGCUCCGUCUGCUGCGGCAGGCGGUGGAAAGGUAGCUUCGGCUUCCGCUUCGGGAUGGGCCCGCGGCCCAUUAGCUAGUUGGUGAGGUAACGGCUCACCAAGGCGACGAUGGGUAGCUGGUCUGAGAGGAUGGCCAGCCACACUGGGACUGAGACACGGCCCAGACUCCUACGGGAGGCAGCAGUGGGGAAUCUUGGGCAAUGCGCGAAAGCGUGACCCAGCGACGCCGCGUGGGGGAAGAAGGCCUUCGGGUCGUAAACCCCUUUCAGGAGGGACGAAGCCCGGUCCGUGAAUAGCGGUCCCGGGUGACGGUACCUCCAGAAGAAGCCCCGGCUAACUACGUGCCAGCAGCCGCGGUAAUACGUAGGGGGCGAGCGUUGCCCGGAAUCAUUGGGCGUAAAGCGCGCGUAGGCGGCCCGGUAAGUCCGCUGUGAAAGCCCGGGGCUCAACCCCGGGAGGCCGGCGGAUACUGUCGGGCUAGAGUCCGGAAGAGGCGGGUGGAAUUCCCGGUGUAGCGGUGAAAUGCGCAGAUAUCGGGAGGAACACCGAUGGCGAAGGCAGCCCGCUGGGACGGUACUGACGCUGAGGCGCGAAAGCGUGGGGAGCGAACAGGAUUAGAUACCCUGGUAGUCCACGCCGUAAACGAUGGGCACUAGGUGUGGGGGGUAGCCGACUCCCUCCGUGCCGAAGCUAACGCAUUAAGUGCCCCGCCUGGGGAGUACGGCCGCAAGGCUAAAA